CCCCCUAUAGCCCAACUGGCAGAGGCAGUCGACUUAAAAUCGAUACAGUCUGGGUUCGAAUCCCAGUAGGGGGACCA
rnacentral:tRNA from 1 species